CUUUAAUUAGAAAUGCCGCCACCUCUUUGCAAAGGGAUAAAAGGCUGAAAGGGGGGCCAGAUCCUGGAGGGAGUGCCCCAAGGUUUGGGAGCGAAAUUAGAACAAGCUUGGAAAAUUAAGAAGAAACAAAGAGUUAAUGUCAUUUUAUCCAGGCUCAAAACGCGCUUUCCAAAAAUUAGAAUGUUCUUUCCCCUCCCGUUGGCCAAAAUAACGUCAGCCCCUAGUUUGAAACAUUUCCUCUCUCGGAAACCCCCAAACACCAUCCUCCUUAACCAGCGACUCCAUGGAGAAGGGGUACGCUCCCUCCUAACAGCAGCGCCCUUUCAAACCACAGUUUGAAAUCCGAAGUUCCUGCGGAGUCAUGAGACGGGCCUUCCGGGCGAGAAAGGCAGUUCGCCGCCGCCUGCACCUCCGGAGGCAGGUUUCUGCGUUUAGGAGCAGUCGUCUCCAGCCUCGUGAUCUGCUGAAUGGGAGCAAUGAUGCGGGUACAUUCCAGGACUGCUGUGAGCUCACCUUCUGGCACAAAGUAGGACCUUAAUAAAUAUUUCUUGAAUGAAUGAAGAGACACCAUGUAUCAUCUGUGGAUUCCCAAGGGCCACUGAGCACAAGGAGGGGCAAGCAGGAAGCAGCAGAUCCGUGUCACAUGACUGAAGGAAGGAAUAAGUGAAAAUCGUGGAAGAGUUUCCUUGCAGCAUUAUUCACAACAGCCAAUAUACAAAAAUGGCAAAUGACAGGAUAAAAAUGUGGUGUAUUACAUACAAUGGAAUAUUAUGCAGCCACGAGGAAAAAGAAAAUCCUGCCAAUUGUGCAAAAUGGAUGGAGCUUGAGGGCAUUUCUCUAAGUGGGGAAAAGGCAAACAGAAACAGCCCAGGAAAGUUGCCAGCAGCUGGGGGGUGGGAAAUGGGGGAGGUUAGUAAAAGGGUACAGGCUUUCAGCUAUAAAGUGAACCAGGUCUGAGGACCUAUGUAAAACGUGUGCCCGUCAUUGAGAAGGCUGUGAUCUUGUAUAACUGGACUUUGCUGAGAGAGUGGAGCUUACAACUUCUCGCCACACAGAUACACAACAGAUAGACACGGGGGAUGGUGUUGACUGUCUGGAUGGGGCAGCCAGUCACCAUGUACACAAGUAUCAAGCCACGGCCUGCACAUUUUGACAACAUUAGCAGCUUUGUCAAUUAUACCUCAAUAAGCAAAAUUGUCUUUAAAAAAGUAAAACAUCUUUCAAAAAUGACCCUUUGGGGACAACCUGGCAAACCUGGGCCGAAGGCUUCUUUGUAAAGACGCCGUAGCAGCCAGAAGGACGUUGGACCACAGGACUUGCCACGAGCACUGUAGAAUGGGUGGAAGAAGACACGAACUUAGCCGGGC